rnacentral:rRNA from 1 species
UACGUGGGGGGCAAGCGUUGUCCGGAAUCAUUGGGCGUAAAGCGCGUGUAGGCGGCUAUGCAGGUCCGCUGUGAAAACUCGAGGCUCAACCUCGAGACGUCGGUGGAAACCGCAUGGCUAGAGUCCGGAAGAGGAGAGUGGAAUUCCCGGUGUAGCGGUGAAAUGCGCAGAUAUCGGGAAGAACACCCGUGGCGAAGGCGGCUCUCUGGGACGGUACUGACGCUGAGACGCGAAAGCGUGGGGAGCGAACAGG